GACCAACAAAAACUGAGACUGAAGUCGCCAGUCCUGAGGAAGCAGGCUUGCCCCCAGUGGAAACACUCAUUUGUCUUCAGUGGCGUAACCCCAGCUCAGCUGAGGCAGUCAAGCUUGGAGUUAACUGUCUGGGAUCAGGCCCUCUUUGGAAUGAACGACCGCUUGCUUGGAGGAACCAGACUUGGUUCAAAGGGAGACACAGCUGUUGGCGGGGAUGCAUGCUCACUAUCGAAGCUCCAGUGGCAGAAAGUCCUUUCCAGCCCCAAUCUAUGGACAGACAUGACUCUUGUCCUGCACUGACAUGAAGGCCUCAAGGUUCCAGGUUGCAGCAGGCGUGAGGCACUGUGCGUCUGCAGAGGGGCUACGAACCAGGUGCAGGGUCCCAGCUGGAGACCCCUUUGACCUUGAGCAGUCUCCAUCUGCGGCCCUGUCCCAUGGCUUAACCGCCUAUUGGUAUCUGUGUAUAUUUACGUUAAACACAAUUAUGUUACCUAAGCCUCUGGUGGGUUAUCUCCUCUUUGAGAUGUAGAAAAUGGCCAGAUUUUAAUAAACGUUGUUACCC
rnacentral:lncRNA from 1 species